UCNUCUGGCUUAACUGGGGGCUUGCGGUGGGUACGGGCCGGCUUGAGUGCGGUAGGGGAGACUGGAACUCCUGGUGUAGCGGUGGAAUGCGCAGAUAUCAGGAAGAACACCGGUGGCGAAGGCGGGUCCCUGGGCCGUUACUGACGCUGAGGAGCGAAAGCGUGGGGAGCGAACAGGAUUAGAUACCCUGGUAGUCCACGCCGUAAACGUUGGGCACUAGGUGUGGGGGGCCUUUUCCGGGUCUUCCGCGCCGUAGCUAACGCAUUAAGUGCCCCGCCUGGGGAGUACGGCCGCAAGGCUAAAACUCAAAGGAAUUGACGGGGGCCCGCACAAGCGGCGGAGCAUGCGGAUUAAUUCGAUGCAACGCGAAGAACCUUACCAAGGCUUGACAUGUGCCGGUCGGCUCCGGAGACGGGGUUUCCUCCUUGUGGGGCCGGUUCACAGGUGGUGCAUGGUUGUCGUCAGCUCGUGUCGUGAGAUGUUGGGUUAAGUCCCGCAACGAGCGCAACCCUUGUCCCGUGUUGCCAGCACGUUGUGGCGGGGACUCGCGGGAGACUGCCGGGGUCAACUCGGAGGAAGGUGGGGAUGACGUCAAAUCAUCAUGCCCCUUAUGUCUUGGGCUUCACGCAUGCUACAAUGGCCGGUACAGAGGGCUGCGAUACCGUGAGGUGGAGCGAAUCCCUUAAAGCCGGUCUCAGUUCGGAUCGGUGUCUGCAACUCGACACCGUGAAGUUGGAGUCGCUAGUAAUCGCAGAUCAGCAACGCUGCGGUGAAUACGUUCUCGGGCCUUGUACGCACCGCCCGUCACGUCAUGAAA
rnacentral:rRNA from 1 species